rnacentral:rRNA from 1 species
AACGAACGCUGGCGGCAUGCCUAACACAUGCAAGUCGAACGAGACCUUCGGGUCUAGUGGCGCACGGGUGCGUAACGCGUGGGAACCUGCCCUUAGGUUCGGAAUAACUCCCCGAAAGGGGUGCUAAUACCGGAUAAUGUCUUAGGACCAAAGAUUUAUCGCCUUUGGAUGGGCCCGCGUUGGAUUAGCUAGUUGGUAGGGUAAAAGCCUACCAAGGCGACGAUGCAUAGCUGGUCUGAGAGGAUGAUCAGCCACACUGGGACUGAGACACGGCCCAGACUCCUACGGGAGGCAGCAGUAGGGAAUAUUGGACGCUGGGCGAAAGCGUGAUCCAGCAGUGCCGCGUGAGUGAUGAAGGCCUUAGGGUUGUAAAGCUCUUUUACCCGGGAUGAUAAUGACAGUACCGGGAGAAUAAGCACCGGCUAACUCCGUG